rnacentral:rRNA from 1 species
UACGGAGGGUGCAAGCGUUAUCCGGAUUUACUGGGUUUAAAGGGUGCGUAGGUGGGCGAGAAAGUCAGUGGUGAAAUCUCCGGGCUUAACCGGGAGGGUGGCAUUGAUACUGCAGGGCUUGAGUAAAGUUGAGGUUGGCGGAAUUGACGGUGUAGCGGUGAAAUGCUUAGAUAUCGUCAAGAACACCGAUAGUGAAGACAGCUAACUAGCUUAACUGACGCUGAGGCACGAAAGUGUGGGGAUCAAACAGGAUUAGAAACCCU